rnacentral:lncRNA from 1 species
UGGAAUCUCAUAUCUAAGAGUUCUUAGGUAGAAGUCACACGGGUAGAGAUUAAGUGAGAAGACUGUAACUUGUGUUGUUUACUAAGAGUCUUUGAACUUAUUCUAUUUAGUGGAUUUCCUUCCUGGCUUGGUAGCCCCCAGACGUAGGUGAGUUUGCACCGAACUGGGUUAACAAUUGCUUGUGUCUCUUGCAUUACUGUUCUUUAUC